UGACAUUUUUCUUGCUGCUCGAGGGCGGAAGCGGCGCGCGUCUCUGCGAGAUGAAGGCGGCAGAGGCGGCGCUGUUGCAGCUGCAGGUCCUCGCUCUCGUCUCCGAUGUCCGCCUCGCCCGCGUGAAUCGCCGAACCGCUCUUUCCUGUAGAACCUUGCAGAUCCCCAGUUCCUAACACACUCUUCAUCUCCCUUCUCCACCAGAACCAAGCAGAUAGAGAUGGCGGCGGAGCGCGAGAGGUGGGUGCCACUGGCGAGAGCUAGAGGGAGCCAGGGAGGUCGCUAGAGCCGCCGACAGCAGCACACAUGGAGCCCUGCUCCGGGCGGCGGACGACUUCGGCUCCUACCCAGGAGUUCAUGGUGAUGACACUGCGAGGCAGUUCAUGGAACAGUUCCCUCUGCCUAAGCUGCUAGGGUAGACAAAAAUUAAGAUCUCGAAGCACCAUUGUUCUUCGGGCGCGACCUCUGACGACCUUGGGACGUGGCAACGAGCAAGAAAGUAGUGCUUAGCCUGCAACUGACAUCCUUGUGACCUCCUGGCCCUGGCGCCUCUUGGUGACCUUCUGGCCCUGGCCGUGGCUCCUGGGGAAGCCCUGGACGAGCUUCUGGUUAGGGGACGGCAUCGCUUCCCGGAACUGCAGCAGCCGGCGAGAUCGGCGACCUGGAGUGCAGCUGGGCGACACGCCCAUGGAUCGAUCGGAGCCGGAGUGCAGCUGGGCGACGUGCCCAUGGAUCGAUUGGAGCCGGAGUGCAGCUGGGCGACGAGCUUGGCGGAUCGAUCGGACCUGGACUGGAGUUCAGCUGGGCGAUGAGCCGGUGUAUCGAUCGGACGAUCGGAGCUGGACGCGAACGCGUGGAGAGGCCACACGCACCUCGUGGAUGGGGAGGAUCGAUUCCUCCUGGGGAGGAGCUAGCUUGGGGAGACGCUGGCCGGGGAGGAUUGAUUUGAU